rnacentral:rRNA from 1 species
AUUGAACGCUGGCGGCAGGCCUAACACAUGCAAGUCGAGCGGAGCGGCGGACGGGGGAGUAAUGCCUAUGAAUGGGCCUGGGAGUGGUGGAUAACGACCGGAAACGGGCGCUAUCACCGCAUACUAUCAGAUUAGCCUGGGUCGGAUUAGCUAGUUGGUGGGGUAAAGGCCUACCAAGGCGCCGAUCCCUAACUGGUCUGAGAGGAUGAUCAGUCACACGGGAACUGAGACACGGUCCAGAAUCCUACGGGAGGCAGCAGUGGGGAAUAUUGGACAAUGGGCGAAAGCCUGAUGCAGCCAUGCCGCGUGUGUGAAGAAGGUCUUCGGAUUGUAAAGCACUUUAAGUUGGGAGGCGUUACCAGCAGAAUAAGCACCGGCUAACUUCGUGCCAGCAGCCGCGGUAAUUC